rnacentral:misc_RNA from 1 species
AGGUUUGAUAAAUUAUUGGUGAUGUACCAUUUCGACAGCCAUGAAAGUUAAAAUGUUUAGCUUGUUUUUACAUGUAAAUGAUGGGAAAGUAUGUUGAUUAAUGUUAUAAGAUAUUGUAGCCAAUGUGUAUUAAGUGUAUGUGGUGAUUGAGUAAUUGAUCUUGAAGUUGAAGAAAGUAUGGGAAACUUUGGUAAAUUGGAGCAUUUCGGCAGCCUUGAGAAGGUCAUGAGGAAUGCUUGAAUUCAUGAAGAUUAUUUGAUGAAAUGUGAUUUUAAAGUUGCUAAGUAUGUAUGUAAUUUAUUAGUGAAAUUAUAUGUUAUGGUUAGGAG